rnacentral:rRNA from 1 species
CGAUACCUUCGGGUAUAGUGGCAAACGGGUGCGUAACACGUCGGGAACCUACCCCUAAGACGAGAAUAACCAUUAGAAAUGAUGGCUAAUACUCGGUAAUAUGCAGUUACAUAAGUAAUUGUAUUAAAGCUUUUGCGCUUAGGGAGGGUCCAGCGGCCUAUCAGCUUGUUGGUAAGGUAAUGGCUUACCAAGGCUACGACGGGUAGCGGGUGUGAGAGCACGACCCGCCUCACUGGGACUGAGACACGGCCCAGACACCUACGGGUGGCUGCAGUCAUGAAUCUUCCGCAAUGCACGAAAGUGUGACGGAGCAAUGCCGCGUGCAGGAUGAAGGCUUUCGGGUCGUAAACUGCUUUUAUCAGGGACGAACAAAUGACGGUACCUGAUGAAUAAGAGGUUGCUAACUCUGUGCCAGCAGCAGCGGUAAUACAGAGACCUCAAGCGUUGUCCGGAUUUAUUGGGCGUAAAGAGUGCGUAGGUGGUUUGUUAAGUCAGUGGUCAAAGCCCGAGGCUCAACCUCGGAACUGCCACUGAUACUGACAAACUAGAGGAUGGGAGAGGCAAGCGGAAUUGCUGGUGUAGGGGUAAAAUCCGUUGAUAUCAGCAGGAACACCAAAUGCGAAGGCAGCUUGCUAGAACAUUCCUGACACUGUUGCACGAAAGCGUGGGGAGCAAAGAGGAUUAGAUACCCUCGUAGUCCACGCCGUAAACGAUGGAUACUAGACAUUGGAAGUAUCGACCCUUUCAGUGUCGUUGAAAAAAGCUAACGCGUUAAGUAUCCCGCCUGGGGAGUACGGUCGC